UUGAUAUUCACAUGUGCGUUCAGAUCUGACAGCAGUUUUGUUCUCUUGGUGAGGGAAUUUUUCCUGGAAGGUUACAAAAGCCCAUUAAUACAACGGCACAAUGCAGUGCUGAGGAGCGUGCAUGCAUGAACUACAAGUCUGCCAGCUUUUUGUGAAGCUCUGCAGGAGGCAGUAUUCUGAAAUAAAGCCUUUCAGGCCCUUUUAGUGUAGUUCUGACCUUCUACUCUAUAUUAAACAGAUGACUGGAACCAGAAAGAUAGGUCAUUGUGAUUGCAGUUAAUAUUUGUAAGGACCAAAGCAGCUCUCAGCCUUUGAGGUAGAAGGGAAUCAUCUUAAGUGUGAAAAUGUAUCAUCACAAGAAUGGAGAGGAUCAAAGGAAGGCCAGCUGGUGCUCGGACAUCUUUUCAUAACCUUUAUUACAACACUAGAAUACACUAACCUCAAUGGGAAGUCCAUUCAAUUCAUGUAUUUCAAAUAGAUAAUCUGUAUUCUGGUGAAACAAAGCAAGCUAAAAAAGCCUCUUCUAAAAAGGGGGUGGUCGACACAAAUUGCCUAUGAUUUAAUCAUAUUGGUUUUCUAAAAUCAGCUUAGCUUUUUCAAUGCAAAUAUAUGAAUGUAUGACAUGCUUAUUUUAGAAGUGGCUGAAAAUUUGUAAAUUUAGGUACAGAGAGUUCUAGCUGAUUUUACUGUGUUUUAUUUCCACUUCAGAAUAAAGGCCCUCUGCAUUUUCACUUGCCAGGCACAGUAUUUUAGGGAAAAGCUGUACAGAACAACCAUAAGCAUUAAAUCAUCCAGGAGGCGUGUAUACAUGGAGUCAUGAAGAGGCCAAGAUUAAAGCUGACUAGUUUUGACAAACACCGAAAUUUAAACUUGGGCUUCCAGGGAACAUCAGACCACUAAAGAGACAGCAGACAGUCGUCACAUCAGCUGAGUAACGACUGCAGCCUGUGAAACAGAUCUGAGGGGUGCUGAAGUUCUGACAGCUUCAGGAGAUACAACUUUGGUUCAAUUCAAAAGUCAUUAAAAUCAUUCCUAAAUUCUAAAGCUCAGAAGAAAAGAAGGAUGCCUGCUGGGGCCUUAGGGCACCAAGGAUCUUCACUAGGUGUCUGGAAGGCCUUUGGAACCAUCCAGUAACAAGUCAAACAGGAAGAAAAGUGUAUUUUGGUUUUCUCCCACUGGCUAGUAAGUUACUCUUCUGGUAAUUCUAGUAUUUGUCAGGGAUACAAGUUUUUGAGCUCCAGAUCCAAAUGGUUACAUUGGCACAUGGCAAAACCAGGAAUGCUGAUUGUGCCCAGCUGGAAAGAACUUUCUCUUAUUUCUCAAAUAAAAUGUGGCCUUUAAAUGCCUAGGGCCAAGUUAGUUUUGAUUUUUCCAAGGCCAAGAAGUGAUAAUCCUAAAGGAUGCUUUUGACAGAAGUCCUAAUGCAAGUGUUAUACAAACAGGAUUUAUGAGCCAUGUGCUUCCACUUUGUGUUUUCAUCUGGAACUUCCGCUUUUCUUUCUUGUUGCUUUAAUGUUAUAUCCCUUUGUAUUUUUUAAGUGCUUAGGAGAACCUUAGUGUGACAAAAUAUUAAAUAAUAAUCAAAGUCUAAGACAUAAAAUGAUACUCUGUAAUGUUUUUCUGAUGAAUGCUCUCAUAUGUGGUCUGCAAUACGGAUGAGCACCUUGAGUGCUCCAACUAUCCUGCAUAUACCAUUUUAUCUUUGUU